GCCCCGGUAAACGGCGGCCGUAACUAUAACGGUCCUAAGGUAGCGAAAUUCCUUGUCGGGUAAGUUCCGACCUGCACGAAUGGCGUAAUGAUGGCCAGGCUGUCUCCACCCGAGACUCAGUGAAAUUGAACUCGCUGUGAAGAUGCAGUGUACCCGCGGCAAGACGGAAAGACCCCGUGAACCUUUACUAUAGCUUGACACUGAACAUUGAGCCUUGAUGUGUAGGAUAGGUGGGAGGCUUUGAAGUGUGGACGCCAGUCUGCAUGGAGCCGACCUUGAAAUACCACCCUUUAAUGUUUGAUGUUCUAACGUUGGCCCGUAAUCCGGGUUGCGGACAGUGUCUGGUGGGUAGUUUGACUGGGGCGGUCUCCUCCUAAAGAGUAACGGAGGAGCACGAAGGUUGGCUAAUCCUGGUCGGACAUCAGGAGGUUAGUGCAAUGGCAUAAGCCAGCUUGACUGCGAGCGUGACGGCGCGAGCAGGUGCGAAAGCAGGUCAUAGUGAUCCGGUGGUUCUGAAUGGAAGGGCCAUCGCUCAACGGAUAAAAGGUACUCCGGGGAUAACAGGCUGAUACCGCCCAAGAGUUCAUAUCGACGGCGGUGUUUGGCACCUCGAUGUCGGCUCAUCACAUCCUGGGGCUGAAGUAGGUCCCAAGGGUAUGGCUGUUCGCCAUUUAAAGUGGUACGCGAGCUGGGUUUAGAACGUCGUGAGACAGUUCGGUCCCUAUCUGCCGUGGGCGCUGGAGAACUGAGGGGGGCUGCUCCUAGUACGAGAGGACCGGAGUGGACGCAUCACUGGUGUUCGGGUUGUCAUGCCAAUGGCACUGCCCGGUAGCUAAAUGCGGAAGAGAUAAGUGCUGAAAGCAUCUAA
rnacentral:rRNA from 1 species